GAUGAACGCUGGCGGCGUGCCUAAUACAUGCAAGUCGAGCGAACAGACGAGGAGCUUGCUCCUCUGACGUUAGCGGCGGACGGGUGAGUAACACGUGGAUAACCUACCUAUAAGACUGGGAUAACUUCGGGAAACCGGAGCUAAUACCGGAUAAUAUAUUGAACCGCAUGGUUCAAUAGUGAAAGACGGUUUUGCUGUCACUUAUAGAUGGAUCCGCGCCGCAUUAGCUAGUUGGUAAGGUAACGGCUUACCAAGGCAACGAUGCGUAGCCGACCUGAGAGGGUGGUCGGCCACCCUGGAGCUGAGACACGGUCCAGACUCCUACGGGAGGCAGCAGUAGGGAAUCUUCCGCAAUGGGCGAAAGCUUGACGGAGCAACGCCGCGUGAGUGAUGAAGGUCUUCGGAUCGUAAAACUCUGUUAUUAGGGAAGAACAAAUGUGUAAGUAACUAUGCACGUCUUGACGGUACCUAAUCAGAAAGCCACGGCUAACUACGUG
rnacentral:rRNA from 1 species